CUUUCUUUGCUGGCGACCGGCGCACGGGUGAGUAACACGUAUCCAACCUGCCCUUUACUCGGGGAUAGCCUUUCGAAAGAAAGAUUAAUACCCGAUAGCAUAAUGAUUCCGCAUGGUUUCAUUAUUAAAGGAUUCCGGUAAAGGAUGGGGAUGCGUUCCAUUAGGUUGUUGGUGGGGUAACGGCCCACCAAGCCUUCGAUGGAUAGAGGUUCUGAGAGGAAGGUCCCCCACAUUGGAACUGAGACACGGUCCAA
rnacentral:rRNA from 1 species